rfam:Schistosoma haematobium scaffold669_13, whole genome shotgun sequence.
AGCUUUCUGUGUCCGUGUCGAGAUUUUAUUGGUUACAAACUCACCAGUACUGACAAGACUCUAAAGAUAAGCAAACUG